UUAUAUUUUAGUAUAUGAUGUACAAAGGUUUUUGAUUCCUUUAGAGAUAGUUUGAUUCUGUCAGAUAUA
rnacentral:tRNA from 1 species